rnacentral:rRNA from 1 species
CAGGACGAACGCUGGCGGCGUGCCUAACACAUGCAAGUCGAACGGAACUAUUUGACUGAUUCCUUCGGGAUGAAGAAUUUUAGUUAGUGGCGGACGGGUGAGUAACGCGUGAGUAACCUGCCUCUGAGAGGGGAAUAACGUUCUGAAAAGAACGCUAAUACCGCAUAACACAUAUUUGCCGCAUGACAGAUAUGUCAAAGAUUUUAUCGCUCGGAGGUGGACUCGCGUCCGAUUAGUUAGUUGGUGAGGUAACGGCUCACCAAGACCGCGAUCGGUAGCCGGACUGAGAGGUUGAACGGCCACAUUGGGACUGAGACACGGCCCAGACUCCUACGGGAGGCAGCAGUGGGGGAUAUUGCGCAAUGGGGGCAACCCUGACGCAGCAACGCCGCGUGAAGGAUGAAGGUUUUCGGAUUGUAAACUUCUUUUAUCAGGGACGAACUCUGACGGUACCUGAUGAAUAAGCUCCGGCUAACUACGUGCCAGCAGCGGC